rnacentral:rRNA from 1 species
GCAGUCGAACGGCAGCACGGGGGCAACCCUGGUGGCGAGUGGCGAACGGGUGAGUAAUAUAUCGGAACGUGCCCUGGAGUGGGGGAUAACGUAGCGAAAGUUACGCUAAUACCGCAUACGAUCUACGGAUGAAAGUGGGGGAUUCGCAAGAACCUCAUGCUCGUGGAGCGGCCGAUAUCUGAUUAGCUAGUUGGUAGGGUAAAAGCCUACCAAGGCAUCGAUCAGUAGCUGGUCUGAGAGGACGACCAGCCACACUGGGACUGAGACACGGCCCAGACUCCUACGGGAGGCAGCAGUGGGGAAUUUUGGACAAUGGGGGCAACCCUGAUCCAGCAAUGCCGCGUGAGUGAAGAAGGCCUUCGGGUUGUAAAGCUCUUUUGUCAGGGAAGAAACGGUCUGGGCUAAUACCCUGGGCUAAUGACGGUACCUGAAGAAUAAGCACCGGCUAACUACGUGCCAGCAGCCGCGGUAAUACGUAGGGUGCAAGCGUUAAUCGGAAUUACUGGGCGUAAAGCGUGCGCAGGCGGUUGUGCAAGACAGAUGUGAAAUCCCCGGGCUCAACCUGGGAAUUGCAUUUGUGACUGCACGGCUAGAGUGUGUCAGAGGGGGGUAGAAUUCCACGUGUAGCAGUGAAAUGCGUAGAUAUGUGGAGGAAUACCGAUGGCGAAGGCAGCCCCCUGGGAUAACACUGA